UACGAAGGGGGCUAGCGUUGUUCGGAAUUACUGGUCGUAAAGCGCACGUAGGCGGAUUGGUCAGUUGGGGGUGAAAUCCCAGGGCUCAACCCUGGAACUGCCUUCAAUAUUGCCAGUCUAGAGAUCGAGAGAGGUGAGUGGAAUUCCGAGUGUAGAGGUGAAAUUCGCAGAGAUUCGGAGGAACACCAGUGGCGAAGGCGGCUCACUGGCUCGAUACUGACGAUGAGGUGCGAAAGCGUGGGGAGCAAACAGG
rnacentral:rRNA from 1 species